UUCUUCUUGGUGGGUUGGUUCUGAAGCUUAGGAACGAUCAAGGUCAUCCUAGGAGAGCUGCUCAGGGACCCACCUUAGGGUCAUUUUGUAUUUGGAGGACUGUUUGCAGACUGAGUCCGAACAGCAGGUACCCCUAUGAGUUUGAGCUUACCUCAGGGUGGCCUUGAGGUUCCAUUCAAUAUUCACUGAUACCAGGCUCCUAAGGCUGGCCCUUAAGUGACGGAGCUUUGGAGGAAGAAGCAGGGAGUUGUGCAUCCUACCACGCAUGACAACAUUCAUCCUUUCAGCAGGGAGCCCUUUCUCCUUUCCUUACUGUCCUGUCUCACCCCAUCUGGUGUGAGCAAGCAGGAGAGAGCCAGUCUGUAGUCUUCAGUAAAGGUUACAGACCUAACUGUGCUGAGUUAAGAGACAUUACCGAAAUGACCUAGGAAUCACCUGAAAGAACCGGACAGCUCUGGAAAUGAGUGAACGCAUCUUGCAAGCAAGGAGAAAACUAGAGGGAUCCUUCUGGGACUGACCGCACCAAAUCUCUUGUGUGUCUCACGGAUCUCUAAUGCCUGGCAGAGAGGAGGUGUUCAACAAACACUUGUGGAAUAAUUGGCCAACUGACAGAUUGACAAUACCCUUUUCUGGACUUCAAGUGCAGCACCCUAUAUGCAGUAGACACUUAAUAAAGUUUGCUUGAUGAUGUGCUAUUAUAUUUAA